rnacentral:rRNA from 1 species
GACGAACGCUGGCGGCGUGCUUAACACAUGCAAGUCGAACGGAAAGGCCCUGCUUUUGUGGGGUGCUCGAGUGGCGAACGGGUGAGUAACACGUGAGUAACCUGCCCUUGACUUUGGGAUAACUUCAGGAAACUGGGGCUAAUACCGGAUAGGAGCUCCUGCUGCAUGGUGGGGGUUGGAAAGUUUCGGCGGUUGGGGAUGGACUCGCGGCUUAUCAGCUUGUUGGUGGGGUAGUGGCUUACCAAGGCUUUGACGGGUAGCCGGCCUGAGAGGGUGACCGGCCCCCAUGGGACCGGGGUACGGCCCAGGGUCCUACGGGAGGCAACAGGUGGGAAUUAUGGACAAAUGGCGGGAGCCUGGAGCAGGAACGCCGCGUUCGGGAUGACGGGCUUCGGGUUGUAAACCGCUUUCGCCUGUGACGAAGCGUGAGUGACGGUAAUGGGUAAAGAAGCACCGGCUAACUACGUG